rnacentral:piRNA from 1 species
UUCAUAGAGUGAUGCCCGUGACAUUAACAGC